rnacentral:rRNA from 1 species
UACGUAGGGUCCGAGCGUUGUCCGGAAUUACUGGGCGUAAAGAGCUCGUAGGUGGUUUGUCGCGUUGUUCGUGAAAACUCACAGCUUAACUGUGGGCGUGCGGGCGAUACGGGCAGACUUGAGUACUGCAGGGGGAGACGUGGAAUUCCUGGUGUAGCGGUGGAAUGCGCAGAUAUCAGGAGGAACACCAGCGGCGAAGGCGGCGCUCGUGGGCCGGUACUGACACUGAGGAGCGAAAGCGUGGGUAGCAAACAGG